rnacentral:rRNA from 1 species
UACGUAGGUGGCAAGCGUUAUCCGGAUUUAUUGGGCGUAAAGGGAACGCAGGCGGUCUUUUAAGUCUGAUGUGAAAGCCUUCGGCUUAACCGGAGUAGUGCAUUGGAAACUGGGAGACUUGAGUGCAGAAGAGGAGAGUGGAACUCCAUGUGUAGCGGUGAAAUGCGUAGAUAUAUGGAAGAACACCAGUGGCGAAGGCGGCUGUCUGGUCUGCAACUGACGCUGAGGCUCGAAAGCAUGGGUAGCGAACAGG